CCCGAUCCAAGAGAGAUCCAAAUAUUAUUGGGAAAUCUCACAUUUGUCAGGUGAUCUCUCUUCAUUUAUUUACUUGAAUGUCAUUUAUUGUUAUUUAUUAUUCUUUUUCUUAUUUCUAAGUCAUUCUUUACUCCAUUACUGAUAGUAUUAUUUAUUGCUACCGAUCAUUGAUGCUUGACAUAUUUUUCAGAAAUAUAUUUGUAUCAUUUGAAUAUUAUAUUGACUAAUAUUGAUUUUUUUUUACUAUAAAUAUAACUGUAUAAUUUAGAUCGAAAUUUUGAGUCAUAUAGUUAGAUCAAAGGGGGGAAAUGUCUGUCGUACAUUCUUAAGAAACAUCAGAAAAUUUUGCAAAGAAUAUUCAAGAUUUAAUAUAUAUAUAUAUUGAUAUGAGUGAUUUGUGAGGUAUCACGAGAGGCUGGUACAGUUUCUGAGAUAUUGCCCGAGGGGCAAACUUUGACGUGCUCAUUUUGCAUACUUACUUGUCUUUCACUUAUUAUAUUGUGGUACUUGUGCCUGAGGGGCAGAUUUUCUAUGUGUACCGGCACUAACUGUUUUUGAAAUUAUUUUGUAACUGUUGAAAAGACCAUUUUCAAAAGAAGUUCAAACUAAGCUAAGAGAAUUUCUAAAGAUUUCACAGUUUUUACUAUUUUCUCAAAGGAUUGUACACUGCUUCUAUGCACAUGUUGGUUGCUUUACGUAAUUUCUUCUGCUCAGUUAUUAUUUACCUUUAUUACUCACUAAGUUGGAGUACUCACUUUACUUCAUGCACCUCGUGUGCAGAUGCAGGUAUGUAUUUACCCGGUAGCGGGUAUUGGCUGUUUGGAGGCAGAGGUGUAGGAGUUUAGCAGAUCCCUUCUNNNNNNNNNNNNNNNNNNNNNNNNNUAUAUAUAUAUAUAUAUAUAUAUAUAUAUAUAAAACUAACUUUUGAAUUGAAUACAUGAUAUAAAGUUUUGUUUUAAAUGUUCAAUUGGAUAUCCUUCAUUCAAUGUGGCUAGGCUACAACUUACCGAUAUUUAAUUUUGAAGUACUCAUAAUGUGAUUUUUUUUAUAUAUUAAGAAUUACAAAAUAAUGUAUUUGAUUGGUAAUGUAAAAAAGGGAACAUAAUUAUAACUUUAUAGACUAUAUAUAUUAUAGGUGUCGAACGGGUUGGGUUGAUCCGGGACCGGCCCGGCUCGAUACUUAGGGGGCCGAGUAGGCUAGGUUACUGAGAUUAGGGGGUUGGUCCAUUCACUUUAAUUCCUCCGGUUAACCGGAUCGGUCAACCAAAAUUCAUGUAGAACCGUUUAACCGGCUCGGCCCAGGCCGAUUUAAAGGCUAGAUUUUUUUUUUAAAGCUUUGAGGGUCUAAGGCAGCAAAACCUUUGAAUUAACUUUUUUCGUUAAUUUACUUGUUAAAUGUAAACCUUUCAAUUUGUAAGUUUGAAUUUUGAAAUAAAUGUAACACUUGUAAUUUAUAAGUACAAUUUUUUCCCAUCUUCAUUGUAUUCUUUAUCUUAAUAUAACUUAAAUAGUCAAUUUAAAGUGCAAUUUUUUUCCCGUCGUCAUUGUAUUCUUUUUAUUUUUACUUUAUACUAAUAUAGAUUACAAUUGUUAUAUAAAAUACAAAUAAUAAUAAUAAUAAUAAUAUACUAACCCGGCCAGGUCCGACCCCUUGUACCCGUAACCUUUACGAUUUAUUUUUUACCCGGAUGAACCCGAACCCGUUAGCCCGUUAACCUCUAGCCCGUAACUGGUCCGGUUCGAAAUCCGGAUAAUUUCAACUUUUCCUUACCUAGCCCAGUCCGGCCCACCCAUUAGACACCCUUAAUAUAUAUUGUGAAAUUUUUUAUUUUGUCAAUCCAUAAAUCCUUAUUACAUAGAUACUAUGCUAGAAUUGUUAUCCGAUAAACUACUUCGUCACCAAAUAAAAGUUAUCGUAUAGCGGAGUUAUAUUUAAUGAGGUAAAAAACAAUUUAUCAAAUUAUUCAUGAAUUUUUCAGUAAUAAAUCGUAAGUUCAAUUACCAUAACUAGUAAACUUUAUUGAGGCUAACGUGGUAUAGUGAUCCAUUUAAUAUUUUUUUAUUUAUCAAUAUUGCAUGCUUAUUAAGACUUCAGGUGAAUUCUGAGGAACAUUGUUAGAGUUCAAUGAUUCUAUACUUGGCGCGCAACUUUUGGAAAAGCUGAAAGAUUCUUCUCUAGUGAUACCAAAUUUGAUAAGAAAUUCAAGUUUGUUUUCACUUAAUAAAAAACAUUAAUUUGAUAAGGUUUUUUCGCAUACAAACGGGGGACAUGACCUGAGGCUUGCGUAUUUAGCUGUAUAAAAGUAAGAAUUAACAAAGUAUGACGGUAAAUUUGAAGCAAAUGCGGCUUAGUAAAAAUAAUGCUCUAAAGCCAGAUUCCAAUAAGUAAAUUUUAAUUUUAAUAAAAUUUAGCUGAAUUUAGAGGGGCGGAAUGGAUUCAUCUUAACCCUUUCACCGAAAAAUCAUACUGUAUAUAUGAAGUAUAAUUUUUUAUUUUUUAUUUUUAUAUAUUAUAUUUAAACAUUUUUGAUAGAACCUAAAAGCAUAGGUUAGUGGUCAAGAAAAUUUAAUACAUUUGUGGUCACUUGUUUAAUUUUCACUAACCAUAAUUUUUUUUAAUUUUUAUCUUUUUUCUUUCUUGAUUUUCCUUAUAAAAAUCCUGCCUCCGCCAUUAAUCAUCAUCAUACUAUAUUAAAAGUUGAAAUUGAGUUACUAAAUCAUUAUCCAUCAAAAGCUAAAAGGCCAUUUGAUCGUUCCUUUAAAUACUACUCUUAUACAAGUUUUGUAUCAAAAACUAAAUAUCCAUUUCAAUAAAUGAUAAUAUCUACUAUAAAAGUAAAUUAAACUAUUUGCCGUGGAGGUCAAUUAUAUCUUCUUAUAUCUAAAAAGAUGGGGUUUCCCUUUUUCGUACUUAUUUGUUUACUAUUGUGGCUUAGUUAUUAUUCUUGUAUUUCUUACCCUUAGAUUUCUAUUAUUAAAUGUUGUUUCUCUUAUUUUAUUGCUGAUACUGCUUCUCUUUCAUGGUAUUUUUCGCUAUUGUAUUCUUUAAAGCUAUUAUGAUGGUUGUUUAGCUCAAAAGUUAUUGAUAUAUUUUGUAAGCUUUAGAAAAUAAUUAAAAAAUAAAUAAGGGUAAAUCGUAAUCAAAUAUAAUCUGACCUAAAAAUUAGAUACUGGAUAUUUGCCGUUCUAGAUCUCAAAGAAAGAGAAAAUAAACUUAACUUAAGAGAGAAGCAAUAGUUGGAGACAGAGAAAGAGAUAGAGAUAGAGAGAGAAGUUGUAUUAUUCGAUUGUAAUAAUAAUGAUGCAUGUUACAAUGUAGAGGUCUCCUUUAUAUAUAUGAGACCUCCCUCAAAAUAAUCAAAAAAGUACAAAAGUUGGUGGCUUCACUUAGUAAAGAAUUUAAGCUCUAAACGACGUUGCUUUUGCCAGGUCGCUCCCUUACUUGGGUCGAGUCUGCUUAUUGGGUGUACCCAUUAAUCAUGGGGCAUUGACGGCCAAAUUUGACCUCAUACAGUUAGUCCCUCCGUUCGUUGGAAACGUGCUCGAUGGACGCCUUCAAUAGACGGAUUCACAAGGCCCUUCCUAAGAGAAUUUGGUCGUAUCAUUGGUCUUUAACACGAAGUAAUGAAACAAAAACGCACGACACAGUUGAACCGUUGACGCAUGGUCUCUUUUUGGAAUGACAUCAUUAGUCGCAUGCGUCAUUAUUACUUUUUUCCCGAGGUAGCUCAGUUGGUGAUGUGAGUUUCUGGUUUCCCGCGCCUGUUCUGACCGUACCUUUUCGAUUUCCGCAUAAAUUUAUCCCAUAAAUAGGAGAA
rnacentral:lncRNA from 1 species